rnacentral:rRNA from 1 species
GACAGAGGGUGCAAACGUUGCUCGGAAUUACUGGGCGUAAAGCGCGUGUAGGUGGAUUGGUGUGUCAGAUGUGAAAGCCCUGGGCUCAACCCAGGAACUGCACCUGAAACUACCAGUCUUGAGUGGUGGAGAGGGAAGUGGAAUUCCUGGUGUAGAGGUGAAAUUCGUAGAUAUUCGGAAGAACACCAGUGGCGAAGGCGACUAACUGGACAUGUAUUGACGCUGAGGUACGAAGGCGUGGGGAGCAAACAGG